CCCGUCACGCACGGGACGAAAUGUGGUCUCAGGGGAGUUCCCCGACGGACUGAAUCGCAAG
rfam:Haloferax volcanii DS2, complete genome.